rnacentral:rRNA from 1 species
UACGUAGGGGGCAAGCGUUGUCCGGAAUCAUUGGGCGUAAAGAGCGUGUAGGCGGUCCGAUAAGUCCGCUCUGAAAGCCCGGGGCUCGACCCCGGGAGGCGGGCGGAUACUGUCGGGCUAGAGUCCGGAAGAGGCAAGUGGAAUUCCUGGUGUAGCGGUGAAAUGCGCAGAUAUCAGGAGGAACACCAGUGGCGAAGGCGACUACCUGGCCUGUUCUUGACGCUGAGGCGCGAAAGCUAGGGGAGCAAACGGG